GACGAACGCUGGCGGCGUGCUUAACACAUGCAAGUCGAACGGAAAGGCCCUGCUUUUGUGGGGUGCUCGAGUGGCGAACGGGUGAGUAACACGUGAGUAACCUGCCCUUGACUUUGGGAUAACUUCAGGAAACUGGGGCUAAUACCGGAUAGGAGCUCCUGCUGCAUGGUGGGGGUUGGAAAGUUUCGGCGGUUGGGGAUGGACUCGCGGCUUAUCAGCUUGUUGGUGGGGUAGUGGCUUACCAAGGCUUUGACGGGUAGCCGGCCUGAGAGGGUGACCGGCCACACUGGGGCUGGGAUUACGCCCCGACCCCUUCGGGGGGGCAGCGGGGGGGAUUUUUGCCCAAGGGGGGGAGCCCUGAGCCGGCACCCCCGGUGGGGGGAUGCGGGCUUUGGGGUGGUAAACCCCUUUCCCCGGGAACGAGGCGUAGUGGCGGGAAAGGGUAAAAGAAGCCCCGGCUACCUCCGU
rnacentral:rRNA from 1 species